CCGCUGGAUGCCGAGGCGCGGCAGAUUGCCGACGGCGAUCUGGUGCGGGUAUGGAAUUCGCGCGGCCAGGUUCUGGCCGGCGCGGUGGU
rnacentral:tRNA from 1 species